rnacentral:tRNA from 1 species
GCCGCUGUGGAGAAAUUGGUAAACUCAGUUGAUUCAAAAUCAACCGCCUCACAGCUUGCCGGUUCGAGUCCGGCCAGCGGUACCA